rnacentral:rRNA from 1 species
AUUGAACGCUGGCGGCAUGCCUUACACAUGCAAGUCGAACGGCAACAGGUCUUCGGAUGCUGACGAGUGGCGAACGGGUGCGUAACACAUCGGAACGUGCCUAGUAGUGGGGGAUAACUACUCGAAAGAGUGGCUAAUACCGAAUGAGAUAUACGGAUGAAAGCAGGGGAACGCAAGACCUUGUGCUACUAGAGCGGCCGAUGGCAGAUUAGGUAGUUGGUGGGAUAAAAGCUUACCAAGCCGACGAUCUGUAGCUGGUCUGAGAGGACGAUCAGCCACACUGGGACUGAGAAACGGCCCAGACUCCUACGGGAGGCAGCAGUGGGGAAUUCUGGACAAUGGGCGCAAGCCUGAUCCAGCAAUGCCGCGUGCAGGAUGAAGGCCUUCGGGUUGUAAACUGCUUUUGUACGGAACGAAAAGCCCCGGGUUAAUACCCUGGGGUCAUGACGGUACCGUAAGAAUAAGCACCGGCUAACUACGUGCCAGCCGCCGCAGUAA